rnacentral:rRNA from 1 species
UAGGGAAUCUUCGGCAAUGGACGAAAGUCUGACCGAGCAACGCCGCGUGAGUGAAGAAGGUUUUCGGAUCGUAAAACUCUGUUGUUAGAGAAGAACAAGGACGUUAGUAACUGAACGUCCCCUGACGGUAUCUAACCAGAAAGCCACGGCUAACUACGUGCCAGCAGCCGCGGUAAUACGUAGGUGGCAAGCGUUGUCCGGAUUUAUUGGGCGUAAAGCGAGCGCAGGCGGUUUAUUAAGUCUGAUGUGAAAGCCCCCGGCUCAACCGGGGAGGGUCAUUGGAAACUGGGAGACUUGAGUGCAGAAGAGGAGAGUGGAAUUCCAUGUGUAGCGGUGAAAUGCGUAGAUAUAUGGAGGAACACCAGUGGCGAAGGCGGCUCUCUGGUCUGUAACUGACGCUGAGGCUCGAAAGCGUGGGGAGCAAACAGG